AAAGUCGUAACAAGGUAACCGUAGGUGAACCUGCGGUUGGAUCAUUACCAAUUCAAUAAUCUCAAAAAAAGGAGGUCGCGCGCAUUUUUGCGCGGGAUCUACAAAAAACCUUUUUUUGUGCACCUCUUGUGAACCUGUAAUCGUUACUGGUGGCUUUUUUCUCCCUCUUUUGUGUGAGAGAAAAAUGAAAUUGUGUGUAAUCGACAUUUAUUUGUUGAUCGCGCGCAGGCCACCAGAAGAUUUUUUUAAAUCACACUUUAUUUUUCUUUUUUCUUUUAUUCUUAAACUUUUUUUUUUUUACUUUGGUUUGUUCUCUCUUGUUCUUUCAUAUUACUGGAAGAGGAAGAGUUUUCCGACUAAAAGCAAAAGAAAAGAAAAAGCCAAAAUUGAGAAACAACUUUUAACAACGGAUCUCUUGGCUCUC
rnacentral:misc_RNA from 1 species